ACUCAAAGGAAUUGACGGGGACCCGCACAAGCGGUGGAUUAUGUGGUUUAAUUCGAAGCUACGCGAAGAACCUUACCAAGGCUUGACAUCCUAGGAAUCUUUUGGAAACAAGAGAGUGCCUUCGGGAGCCUAGUGACAGGUGCUGCAUGGCCGUCGUCAGCUCGUGUCGUGAGAUGUUGGGUUAAGUCCCGCAACGAGCGCAACCCUUAUGGUUUGUUGUAUUUUUCAAGCCAGACUGCCCGGGCCAACCGGGAGGAAGGUGGGGAUGACGUCAGGUCAGCAUGGCCCUUACGCCUUGGGCUACACACGUAAUACAAUGGCCGGUACAACGCGUUGCCAACCCGCGAGGGGGAGCUAAUCGCAUCAAAACCGGUCCCAGUUCGGAUUGGAGGCUGCAACUCGCCUCCAUGAAGUCGGAAUCGCUAGUAAACGUGGGUCAGCAUACCACGUUGAAUACGUUCCCGGGUCUUGCACACACCGCCCGU
rnacentral:rRNA from 1 species